rnacentral:rRNA from 1 species
GGACGGUACCUUUCGAGGAAGCCACGGCUAACUACGUGCCAGCAGCCGCGGUAAUACGUAGGUGGCGAGCGUUGUCCGGAAUUAUUGGGCGUAAAGGGAGCGCAGGUGGGACUUCAAGUCAGUCUUAAAAGUGCGGGGCUCAACCCCGUGAUGGGAUUGAAACUGUAGUUCUUGAGUGCAGGAGAGGAAAGCGGAAUUCCUAGUGUAGCGGUGAAAUGCGUAGAUAUAUGGAGGAACACCGGUGGCGAAAGCGGCUCUCUGGUCUGUAACUGACGCUGAGGCUCGAAAGCGUGGGGAGCAAACAGGAUUAGAUACCCUG